rnacentral:rRNA from 1 species
UGGGGAAUAUUGCACAAUGGGCGCAAGCCUGAUGCAGCCAUGCCGCGUGUGUGAAGAAGGCCUUCGGGUUGUAAAGCACUUUCAGCGGGGAGGAAGGCGGUGAGGUUAAUAACCUUAUCAAUUGACGUUACCGACAGAAGAAGCACCGGCUAACUCCGUGCCAGCAGCCGCGGUAAUACGGAGGGUGCAAGCGUUAAUCGGAAUUACUGGGCGUAAAGCGCACGCAGGCGGUUUGUUAAGUCAGAUGUGAAAUCCCCGGGCUCAACCUGGGAACUGCAUCUGAUACUGGCAAGCUUGAGUCUCGUAGAGGGGGGUAGAAUUCCAGGUGUAGCGGUGAAAUGCGUAGAGAUCUGGAGGAAUACCGGUGGCGAAGGCGGCCCCCUGGACGAAGACUGACGCUCAGGUGCGAAAGCGUGGGGAGCAAACAGG